rnacentral:misc_RNA from 1 species
GGCUGGCUCCGUGCCCGCCCACCGAACGGCCGGCAGGCGAUCCGUGUCCGUCGCGUGAGGGAAGUAUGGUUCCCUGGAGGAUGGUUCUUGUGCUGCGUACCCCUCCAAGGGAAGCAGGCCACUUGAUGUACGCCUCCAUCCUGUGCCUUCCAGUGGGCGCAGGAGGACAACGGAGCACCCCCCGCGUUCCACCGAGCCUUCGCCGGUCGCGUGGCCCGUGGGGAAGUGCGAUGCUCUCGGACCCGGCGCACGCCGUGGGCGAGGACUCACGUCCCAGUCCCAAGAGAAGCUCCGACGUAACGAAUGACGGCCGUUCCCGCCUCUGACCGCCCCGGCGGUGCGAGGGCGAGGGGCGGCGUCGUGUAGGAAUGCUACCUGGUUGAUCCUGCCAGUAGUCAUAUGCUUGUCUCA